rnacentral:rRNA from 1 species
AGUGAACGCUGGCGGCGUGCCUAAUACAUGCAAGUCGAACGGAGUGGCGCACGGGUGAGUAAUAUAUAGCUAAUCUGCCCCUUGCUGGAGGACAACAGUUAGAAAUGACUGCUAAUACUCCAUAGCAAGGGAUGAGACUAUAUCGUAUCAGGUAGUCGGUGGGGUAACGGCCUACCGAGGCUAUGACGCGUAACUGGUCUGAGAGGAUGAGCAGUCACAUUGGAACUGAGACACGGUCCAAACUCCUACGGGAGGCAGCAGUAGGGAAUAUUGCGCAAUGGGGGAAACCCUGACGCAGCAACGCCGCGUGGAGGAUGACACUUUUCGGAGCGUAAACUCCUUUUGUUAGGGAAGCGGUACCUAACGAAUAAGCACCGGCUAACUCCGUGCCAGCAGCCGCGGUAAUAC